AUGCAAGUCGAGCGAAUGGUUGAGAGCUUGCUCUCAAGAAGUUAGCGGCGGACGGGUGAGUAACACGUGGGUAACCUGCCCAUAAGACUGGGAUAACUCCGGGAAACCGGGGCUAAUACCGGAUAACAUUUUGAACUUGCAUGGUUCGAAAUUGAAAGGCGGCUUCGGCUGUCACUUAUGGAUGGACCCGCGUCGCAUUAGCUAGUUGGUGAGGUAACGGCUCACCAAGGCAACGAUGCGUAGCCGACCUGAGAGGGUGAUCGGCCACACUGGGACUGAGACACGGCCCAGACUCCUACGGGAGGCAGCAGUAGGGAAUCUUCCGCAAUGGACGAAAGUCUGACGGAGCAACGCCGCGUGAGUGAUGAAGGCUUUCGGGUCGUAAAACUCUGUUGUUAGGGAAGAACAAGUGCUAGUUGAAUAAGCUGGCACCUUGACGGUACCUAACCAGAAAGCCACGGCUAACUACGUGCCAGCAGCCGCGGUAAUACGUAGGUGGCAAGCGUUAUCCGGAAUUAUUGGGCGUAAAGCGCGCGCAGGUGGUUUCUUAAGUCUGAUGUGAAAGCCCACGGCUCAACCGUGGAGGGUCAUUGGAAACUGGGAGACUUUGAGUGCAGAAGAGGAAAGUGGAAUUCCAUGUGUAGCGGUGAAAUGCGUAGAGAUAUGGAGGAACACCAGUGGCGAAGGCGACUUUUUGGUCUGUAACUGACACUGAGGCGCGAAAGCGUGGGGGAGCAAACAGGAUUAGAUACCCUGGUAGUCCACCCCCU
rnacentral:rRNA from 1 species